AACGCUAGCUACAGGCUUAACACAUGCAAGUCGAGGGGCAGCAUGAUUCCAGCUUGCUGGAAUUGAUGGCGACCGGCGCACGGGUGAGUAACGCGUAUCCAACCUACCGUAUACUCAGGGAUAGCCUUCCGAAAGGGAGAUUAACACCUGAUAGUAUCUAAAGACCUCAUAGCCUUAAGAUUAAAUGUAAAGGUAUAUGAUGGGGAUGCGUUCCAUUAGAUAGUAGGCGGGGUAACGGCCCACCUAGUCGACGAUGGAUAGGGGUUCUGAGAGGAAGGUCCCCCACAUUGGAACUGAGACACGGUCCAAACUCCUACGGGAGGCAGCAGUGAGGAAUAUCGGUCAAUGGAUGAGAAUCUGAACCAGCCAAGUAGCGUGAAGGAUGACGGCCCUACGGGUUGUAAACUUCUUUUGAAAGGGAAUAAAGUGUGGUACGUGUACCAUAUUGUAUGUACCUUUGGAAUAAGCAUCGGCUAACUCCGUGCCAGCAGCCGCGGUAAUACGGAGGAUGCGAGCGUUAUCCGGAUUUAUUGGGUUUAAAGGGUGCGUAGGCGGACGCUUAAGUCAGUUGUGAAAGUUCGAGGCUCAACCUUGGAAUUGCAAUUGAUACUGGUCGUCUAGAGAUUACAUAAGGUAGGCGGAAUUCGUGGUGUAGCGGUGAAAUGCUUAGAUAUCACGAAGAACUCCGAUUG
rnacentral:rRNA from 1 species